UGGGCGGUGGUGAAAGGGCAUCACGUCGGUCUUUGGAACCGAAGUUGAAGGUUCGAGUCCUUCCCGCCCAG
rnacentral:tRNA from 2 species